rnacentral:rRNA from 1 species
AGUUUGAUUCUGGCUCAGAUUGAACGCUGGCGAUGCUUAUACACGCAAGUCGAACGGCAGCACGGACUUCGGUCUGGUGGCGAGUGGCGAACGGGUGAGAAUGUAUCGGAACGCCUAGUAGCGGGGGAUAACUACGCGAAAGCGGGUUAAUAAUGUAUACGGUUCUUCAAAUAAGUGGGGACCCCCGGGCCUCGCACCAUUAGAGCGGCCGAUAUCGGAUUAGCUAGUUGGUGGGUAACGGCUCACCAAGGCGACGAUCCGUAGCUGGUUUGAGAGGACGACCAGCCACACUGGGACUGUGACACGGCCCAGACUCCUACGGGAGGCAGCAGUGGGGAAUUUUGACAAUGGGAAACCCCGAUCCAGCCAUCUCGCGUGUGCGAUGAAGGCCUUCGGGUUGUAAAGCACUUUUGCAGGAAAGAACGGACGUGGAUAAUACCCCGUGCAACUGACGGUACCUGCAGAAUAAGCACCACAACUACGUGCCAGCAGCCGCGGUAAUACGUAGGGUGCAAGCGUUAAUCGAAUUACUGGGCGUAAAAGCGUGCGCAGGCGGUUCGAAAGAAAGAUGUGAAAUCCCAGAGCUUAACUUUGGGACCGCAUUUUUUAACUACCGAGCAGAGUGUGUCAGAGGGAGGUGGAAUUCCGCGUGUAGCAGUGAAAUGCGUAGAUAUGCGGAGGAACACCGAUGGCGAAGGCAGCUCUGGGAUAACACUGACGCUCAUGCACGAAAGCGUGGGGAGCAAACAGGAUUAGAUACCCUGGUAGUCCACGCCCUAAACGAUGUCAACUAGCUGUUGGGGCCUUCGGGCCUUGGUAGCGUAGCUAACGGGGUGAAGUUGACCGCCUGGGGAGUACGGUCGCAAGAUUAAAACCUCAAAGGAAUUGACGGGGACCGCGCACAAGCGGUGGAUGAUGUGGAUUAAUUCGAUGCAGCGCGAAAAACCUUACCUACCCUUGACAUGUCUGGAAUCCCGAAGAGAUUUGGGAGUGCUCGCAAGAGAACCGGAACACAGGUGCUGCAUGGCUGCUUCGUCAUUUCGUGUCGUGAGAUGUUGGGUUAAGUCCCGCAACGAGCGCAACCCUUGUCGGCCAGUUGCUACGAAAGGGCACUCUAAUGAGACUGCCGGUGACAAACUGGAGGAAGGUGGGGAUGACGUCAGUCCGCGGCCCUUAUGGCAGGGCUUCACACGUCAUACAAUGGUCGGGACAGAGGGUCGCCAACCCGCGAGGGGGAGCCAAUCCCAGAAACCCGAUCGUAGUCCGGAUCGCAGUCUGCAACUCGACUGCGUGAAGUCGGAAUCGUGCCAGUAAUCGCGGAUCAGCAUGUCGCGGUGAAUACGUUCCCGGGUCUUGUACACACUGCCCGUCACACCAUGGGAGUGGGUUUUACCAGAAGUAGUUAGCCUAACCGUAAGGAGGGCGAUUACCACGGUAGGAUUCAGAUCAGGGGUGAAGUCGUAACAAGGCAC